GUGCUUGCAUUGUCAACACAUAUUCUAAAAUUGGAACAAUGCAGAGAAGAUCAGCAUGCCCAUGUUUAAGAAUGACAUGCAAAUUUGUGAAUGCUCCAUAUAUUUUU
rnacentral:snRNA from 2 species